UUUUACAAAACGGAGCGUUACAACAUAUCACUAUCCCUUUUCUUAAUUAAACCUAAUAUGUCGCGACUUCGUCCCUUCUCCACCCGAAAUCAAAAGCACUGUUCACCUAGCCUUCCCUUCGCGUUCAUCUGUGUAUUCAUCUGCGUUCAUUGCCGAAAAAGACUUCCCUUCGUGUUCAUUCAUCUGCGUUCAUUAGUGUUCACCUUCAUUCAUCUGCGUUCACCGUCCAUCACCGUCCGUCUGCUUUGCGUUCCCUUCGCCUUCGUUCAUCUGCGUCCUACACUAACCUCAAGCAAAGCAAGUAUAGUGAUAACUGUAUAUUCAGGCAGGGGAAGUUAGUUACCUCGUACCUGUAUUAGAUUAAUCUGUAUCAAAUUUUGUUUCAUCUUUCUCUGCCAAUAAUUAAAGAAUUUGUUUCUUCUAGGUGUGGAAACUGAAUGGAUUAGAUUGAUAACGAAGAGAAAUUUUAAUUAAAUUUGAUAUUUCAGUCGUUCUAGAACUGAGAAUUUUGUUUGGUUUUUUCGAAUCUAUGUCAUUACAGUUAAUCUUUUUGCCUGUUAGUGAUUUUGUAUUCAACUAAGUGUAUAUGCAUAUGAGAAUUAGGCUUUGCUUUAAUUCUCAUUUAGUUUGAUUCUCAUUGAGUUAAUUGAAAAUUAGGUAGUUUUUUCAACUUAAUUAGUCUGUGAUUCUCUUGAAACAUCCAAUCAGACAGGAACUCUUCUGAAGCAGUCUGCUGUAUAAGAUCGAAGAACUGAGACUGGUUGAGACAUCUCAAUCAGACAGGUUCUUGCAAGUGUACUGAGAGAAUGGGAGAAAGAAAGAAAGGAUAAAAAAGUAAGUGGGGAUUUUAUAGAAUAAUGAGAUAGUGGAGGCAAAAUAGGGUAAAGGGUAAAGUAAGUGAAAUAAAAAAAAGACAGUUUUUCGUAUUUUUGAUUCAUACUGGGGAAAAAGGGAACUAAAAACGCCCACAGUGAAGAAUAGGGUUUGGUGUGACUGUGUUUUAGUCGUGUUGUGAAGGGAUGAUGAGAAUAGGAUUAAAUAUACAAAGGGUUUAAGGGGAUGAUGAUGAUAAAGAAGAAGAAGGGUUUUUGAAAGUGUGAGAGUUUGUGAAGAGGAAGAAGAAGGUUUGUAUGAGUAUUUAUUGAGAGUGCAGAGAGAGGGUAAAGAAGUAAUGUUAAGUGUUAGAGUGUUGGACACAAGGAAAAGAAGUGAACAACCACCAUAGCAAUGUUGCAAUGGAAUCCAAAUACACUGAAAUCCCUGUUUUAUAGGAUCCCAACACCCGAAUUUGGCAACUCCACAAUACUAAACUCCUUUAUUCACAUUCCUUUUCUCUCUGUAUUUUUAACCCCCUCCCAAUAUUUUUUUAUUAUAACUCUUUUCCAUUCCUAACCCAUUUCCCUAUAAUAUAUAUAUAUUUUUUUAUCUUCACCUUACUUUAAUAAAUACAUUUACUUUAAUAAAUAACCCAUUCCUAACUCCUUUACUCCUUACCUUACCCCCGUCAUUCUAUACAUAAAAAAGGUUAUGCUAUAAAAUUAUAUGUUGUUGUGGAGAAUAUAACAUCUUGAAAUGAAAAAUUUUAGACUUCAAAGAGAGAGAGAGGGAGGGAGAUUUGAACAAAGCUUGAACAAACCUACUUGAGAAUCAUCCAUGGAUUUUCUUUUCAAAGGUGGUUGCUGAACUGAAAUAAAUUAGAAACUAAGGUAGCUUGAAAUGUACAAAUACAUGUAUGUUAUCUAAAAUUCUACUUUCUUUUUCCUAUUUUUACCUCAAAAUCUAUUUCUAACAGCAUUGCCUAAUUAACCACUUUUGCAUAACACUUCAUCAUCCUUUGCCCUCUCCACUACCCUAUAGAGAAAAACUAGCAAAGGUCUACCCUAAACAGGAUGCCUAUCCAAUAAGAGUCAUUUGCGAUUUCCUGUUUGUAAUUUGUAUUAUUUUUCCUUUUGCAUGAAUAACAACUUAUUAUAGAUUAGAUUCAUAUUCUCAACAUAAGAUUAUAUAGGUUAUUACUUAUUAUAGCUUAAUUGACAUGGGUUGUUUUUUUACGAGGCUGAUUCAUCAUAUUUCCAACAGCUUCUUUUGGAGAUUUGUCAAGCAUCUACGAAGUAUCUUUGGAGCAUUUUUUAAGGCUAUGUCUCAUCUGUCGUAGGUUUUGUUGUUAAAGUAUCUUUUUAAUGUUUAUUUUUCCAAUAUUCAACUGACCCUAUAGUUGUCGAUAUAGUUUUUGUCUCUAUGUUCUCUUGUUAUUAAUGAUAGGAUUGCAUAUUGGUAUUUUUAAAAUUUGUUUUCUAGGUUUCUCGUAGGCUAUGUCUCUCUUGAGUCUUUAUUUAUUCUUGAUAGGACCAUGGUUGAUAAAGUAUAAUGAAAGAUAGUCCUAGAUCACACUUG
rnacentral:lncRNA from 1 species